UCUUAUGUACAUGCCUACAACUUAGUGUUAAUGCAUUGGAUCCCAUUAGAACUUCGCAGUUAAGCACGCUCGGGCUAGAGUAGUACUGGGAUGAGUGACUGCUGGGAAGUCCUAGUAUUUUAUAUGCC
rnacentral:rRNA from 1 species